AUGCAUCUGGUCUCGGGUGGCCAGACCGCGGUGUCGACCAACGGAGAGGUUGGGAACUUCUUCCGCAACAAACGGGGUCUCAGGCAAGGGGAUCCCUCCUCGCCCCUGAUUUUUAACUUUGUUGCGGACGCCCUAUCAGCCAUGAUCCAUAAGGCUAAGGACACCGGACACAUCAGCGGGGUGGUUUCUCACCUUAUUCCGGGUGGACUCACCCACCUCCAAUAUGUGGACGACACCUUGCUGCUCUUUGAGCCUGACGAUCAUAGCGUAGCCUCGGUCAAACUUAUCCUCCUCGCUUUCGAAAUCAUCUCGGGUCUUAAGAUCAAUUUCCUUAAGAGCGAGGUAAUAGCCAUUGGGAUGGAUCCUCUGCUCGCUUCUCGAGUAGCCAAUCUACUUAAUUGUAAGCUAGCGAGCUUUCCAAUUAAGUAUUUGGACCUGCCUAUUUCGGAUAAACACAUCUCCAUUCUGGAAUGGGAGCCCUUGUAUGGCAAGGUGGCAAAUAGGGUUAGCCCCUAG
rnacentral:rRNA from 1 species